rnacentral:rRNA from 1 species
ACUCCUACGGGAGGCAGCAGUGGGGAAUAUUGCACAAUGGGCGCAAGCCUGAUGCAGCCAUGCCGCGUGUAUGAAGAAGGCCUUCGGGUUGUAAAGUACUUUCAGCGGGGAGGAAGGCAAUACGGUUAAUAACCGUGUUGAUUGACGUUACCCGCAGAAGAAGCACCGGCUAACUCCGUGCCAGCAGCCGCGGUAAUACGGAGGGUGCAAGCGUUAAUCGGAAUUACUGGGCGUAAAGCGCACGCAGGCGGUCUGUCAAGUCGGAUGUGAAAUCCCCGGGCUCAACCUGGGAACUGCAUUCGAAACUGGCAGGCUUGAGUCUUGUAGAGGGGGGUAGAAUUCCAGGUGUAGCGGUGAAAUGCGUAGAGAUCUGGAGGAAUACCGGUGGCGAAGGCGGCCCCCUGGACAAAGACUGACGCUCAGGUGCGAAAGCGUGGGGAGCAAACAGGAUUAGAUACCCUAGUAGUCCCAUGAU